rnacentral:rRNA from 1 species
UUCCAGCUCCAAUAGCAUAUGCUAAUGUUGUUGCGGUUAAAAAGCUCGUAGUCUGAGUUGUGUCCAGCGCUGCCGGUCCGCAGCAUGCCUGUGUUGACUGUGUAUGUCGUCUGGACGUCCUUGCCGGACGCGGAAGGAAGCCGAAAGUUGCCGUCCCGGGUUCACCUCGUGCAUCCCGGAAACGGCUUCCUAGGCGACCCCGCACAUGAGGUCCCGACCUGGUGCUCUUAAUCGAGUGCCUAGGAGGGCCGGCACUCUUACUUUGAACAAACUCGAGUGCUCAAAGCUGGCCCUUUGGCCUAGUCGCUGUGUGCAUGGAAUAAUGGAAUAGGACUUCGGUUCUAUUUGGUUGGUUCUACGAACCGAGGUAAUGAUCAAAAGGAGCAGUUGGGGGCAUUCGUAUUGCGACGUUAGAGGUGAAAUUCUUGGAUCGUCGCAGGACGGACAAAAGCGAAAGCAUUUGCCAAGGAUGCUUUCAUUGAUCAAGAGCGAAAGUUGGAGGAUCGAAGGCGAUCAGAUACCGCCCUAGUUCUAACCAUAAAUUAUGCCAACCAGCAAUGCGCCGAAGUCGCUUUUGACUCGGCGUGGAGCUUCCGGGAAACCAGAGUUUUCAGGUUCCGGGGGAAGUAUGGUUGCAAAGCUGAAACUUAAAGGAAUUGACGGAAGGGCACCACAAGGAGUGGAGCCUGCGGCUUAAUUUGACUCAACACGGGGAAACUUACCAGGGCAGGACACUCGAAUGAUUGACAGAUUGAAGAUCUUUCUUGAUUGUGUGCAUGGUGGUGCAUGGCCGUUCCUAGUUCGUGGGGUGGCUUGUCUAGUUAAUUCUGAUAACGAGCGAGAUUCUAACUAUUAAAUAGACCAAUGAGAUCCCUUCGGGGCUAUCAGAGAAUGAAACUUCUUAGUAGGAUUUCUGGCCUAGAGCCAAAUGAGAAUAGAACCAUAACAGGUCUGUGAUGCCCUUAGAUGUCCUGGGCUGCACGCGUGCUACAAUGAAAGAAGCAGCGUGAAAAAUCCUAGUCCGAGAGGCCCUGGUAAUCAGUUGAAAUUCUUUCAUGCAGGGGAUAGGGGCUUGCAAUUAGCCCCUUGAACAAGGAAUUCCCAGUAGGUGCGAGUCACGAUUCCGCUCCGACUGAGUCCCUGUCCUUUGUACACACCGCCCGUCGCUACUACCGAUUGAAUGGUCUAGUGAGGUCUUUGGACCGAAGAUGCUAGGUCUUAACGGACCAGAUCAAUAGGGAGGAUGACCGAACUUGAUCGUUUAGAGGAAGUAAAAGUCGUAACAAGGUUUCCGUAGGUG